rnacentral:rRNA from 1 species
ACACGACUACAUUAGAUACCCGUGUAGUCCAGGGUGUAAACGCUGCGGGCUUGGUGUUGGGGGUCCUUAGUGGACGCCCAGUGCCGGAGAGAAGUUGUUAAGCCUGCUGCUUGGGGAGUAUGUCCGCAAGGAUGAAACUUAAAGGAAUUGGCGGGGGAGCACCGCAACGGGAGGAGCGUGCGGUUCAAUUGGAUUCAACACCGUAAACUCACCAGGGAAGACUGUUACAUGAAAGCCGAGAUGAAGACUCUGCUAGAUUUUCAG